rnacentral:ncRNA from 1 species
GGUCACGAGUGUCGACGUCAAGCCCCAGCUGGUCGACCGGCAACCCUCCACCGCGGUGGGGUGCCCUGGGUGAGGACCGGGCCAGUGCGCAGCCGCGCGCCGGCAAGCGCGGA